GGGUCCUCUUGGCCUUCCAGGACGCCCUGGAGAGCGAGGAAUGAAAGGAGAAGCUGGAGAAUCGGGCCGGAAUGGAGCUACGGGAGAGAAGGGCGACAAGGGAGAAUCCGGACCACCUGGGCCUCGGGGAAUUCCUGGGAGGACUGU